CCAUGCAUGUCUAAGUAUAAGCAAUUAUACAGCGAAACUGCGAAUGGCUCAUUAUAUAAGUUAUCGUUUAUUUGAUAGUACCUUACUACUUGGAUAACCGUGGUAAUUCUAGAGCUAAUACAUGCUAAAAAUCCCGACUUCGGAAGGGAUGUAUUUAUUAGAUUAAAAACCAAUGCCCUCUGGGCUCCUUGGUGAUUCAUAAUAACUUUUCGAAUCGCAUGGCCUUGCGCCGGCGAUGGUUCAUUCAAAUUUCUUCCCUAUCAACUUUCGAUGUUUGGGUAUUGGCCAAACAUGGUCGCAACGGGUAACGGAGGGUUAGGGCUCGACCCCGGAGAAGGAGCCUGAGAAACGGCUACUACAUCCAAGGAAGGCAGCAGGCGCGCAAAUUACCCAAUCCCGAUUCGGGGAGGUAGUGACAAUAAAUACUGAUACAGGGCUCUUUUGGGUCUUGUAAUUGGAAUGAGUACAAUUUAAAUCCCUUAACGAGGAACAAUUGGAGGGCAAGUCUGGUGCCAGCAGCCGCGGUAAUUCCAGCUCCAAUAGCGUAUAUUAAAGUUGUUGUGGUUAAAAAGCUCGUAGUUGAACCUUGGGCCUGGCUGGCCGGUCCGCCUCACCGCGUGUACUGGUCCGGCCGGGCCUUUCCCUCUGUGGAACCUCAUGCCCUUCACUGGGUGUGGCGGGGAAACAGGACUUUUACUUUGAAAAAAUUAGAGUGCUCCAGGCAGGCCUAUGCUCGAAUACAUUAGCAUGGAAUAAUGAAAUAGGACGUGUGGUUCUAUUUUGUUGGUUUCUAGGACCGCCGUAAUGAUUAAUAGGGACAGUCGGGGGCAUCAGUAUUCAAUUGUCAGAGGUGAAAUUCUUGGAUUUAUUGAAGACUAACUACUGCGAAAGCAUUUGCCAAGGAUGUUUUCAUUAAUCAGGAACGAAAGUUAGGGGAUCGAAGACGAUCAGAUACCGUCGUAGUCUUAACCAUAAACUAUGCCGACUAGGGAUCGGACGAUGUUAUUUUUUGACGCGUU
rnacentral:rRNA from 1 species